rnacentral:rRNA from 1 species
UACGGAGGGAGCUAGCGUUGUUCGGAAUUACUGGGCGUAAAGCGCACGUAGGCGGCUUUGUAAGUUAGAGGUGAAAGCCCGGGGCUCAACCCCGGAAUUGCCUUUAAGACUGCAUCGCUUGAAUCCGGGGGAGGUGAGUGGAAUUCCGAGUGUAGUGGUGAAAUACGUAGAUAUUUGGAGGAACACCGGUGGCGAAGGCGGCUAACUGGCCCAACAUUGACGCUGAGACCCGAAAGCAUGGGGAUCAAACAGG